rnacentral:lncRNA from 1 species
UCCAAAUCCAUGGUUGAUCUUUGCUUCCAUACCGUUCUGGAGGCAGGUCAAAAGGUACAGGAAAAGAUGUUGCUGAAUCUUUACCUUCUGAAAGCAUGUUUCCCUUCACAUGAAAGUAACCUUUGUCCAAUCCAAAUGCUGAAGGCAAGAAAAGGACUCCAAGUUCAUAUGAACGGAUCAUCAGUUGGGUGCCAUUUUUCUCCAGAGCUCCC